rnacentral:ncRNA from 1 species
CUUCCGCUCUCCCCGCACAGGAGGGCGGACCGGGGGAACCGCGCUCUCUGCCCUGACCGCGCGGACUUCCCCCAGGGCCACCGGGCACCGCACACCCGGCGGCUCGCGGUCCCGCGUCCUCAGGGGCGUGCGGGCACGCCUUCGGGCUGCGGUGCCGGAGGGGUCGAGGGUCCCCUCGCGGCGC